AUUGAACGCUGGCGGCAGGCCUAACACAUGCAAGUCGAACGGUAACAGGAAACAGCUUGCUGUUUCGCUGACGAGUGGCGGACGGGUAAGUAAUGUCUGGGAAACUGCCUGAUGGAGGGGGAUAACUACUGGAAACGGUAGCUAAUACCGCAUAACGUCGCAAGACCAAAGAGGGGGACCUUCGGGCCUCUUGCCAUCGGAUGUGCCCAGAUGGGAGUAGCUUGUUGGUGGGGUAACGGCUCACCAAGGCGACGAUCCCUAGCUGGUCUGAGAGGAUGACCAGCCACACUGGAACUGAGACACGGUCCAGACUCCUACGGGAGGCAGCAGUGGGGAAUAUUGCACAAUGGGCGCAAGCCUGAUGCAGCCAUGCCGCGUGUAUGAAGAAGGCCUUCGGGUUGUAAAGUACUUUCAGCGGGGAGGAAGGGAGUAAAGUUAAUACCUUUACUCAUUGACGUUACCCGCAGAAGAAGCACCGGCUAACUCCGUGCCAGCCGCCGCGGUAA
rnacentral:rRNA from 1 species